CAGAGAAAGAGAGGAGAGGUGCAGAGAAAGAGGGGAGAGAUAGAGAGUGAGGAGAGGUGCAGAGAAAGAGAGGAGAUGGACGGCGAGAAACAGAGAGAGAGACGGCUAGGGUGAGAAUGGGGGACAAGAGAAGGAGACAGGAUCAUGGAGAGAGAAAUCAAGUGAAGGCGAAGACAGAGAAAAUGAGACAGGGAGACAGAGAGGACAAAACAGGGGUAGGGAAAGGGAGAGAGAGAAAAGGGAGACUAGGUCGCUACAGAGAGAUUCCUAAUGUAGGUUUCAAUUUCCAGUUCUUGGGUGGACUGGACCAUUUGAGCAUUAAAUGCAAUAGAACUUCACUUACAAGGAUCUCAUGUUUUUUUGUAAUGUAUUUUUAAGUAGAGCUUAGUGGCGGCUGGUCCAUGUAUGAAGCCUCACUUGUAUUUUCUUACAAUCCAAAUAGUGACAAAGGGGGGCAAACAUGCUAGUGUUUUUUCAUUGUCAUCUUUCUCUCCCUAACAGGCCAACAAGAUGUUCAACCCGAUGACUGUAUAAAGGAAUGGACAAAGCCAUCGAUCACGUGACACCAUUCGUUCCUAUGUGAAGACUCAACAGCGCAUUGAAACCAAAUGAGCAUCAGUAGAACACGCCUGACACUCCUCCACCAGUCACACAAGGAGAAUGGUCUAAUGCCUCCCUUCAAAAAGAGAGCUGGCCCAAGCAAGAACAGGUUACACCUGAAGCAUGAGGACUUGCAGCGAGUGGUGAACUUCAUCAACAACUACAGGAUAAUGCAACAGUAUUACCAGGAUGCCACCCAGGACACAGGCUCUUUGGUGGAAAGCUGUUGUCAUGUGACAAAUGCAGUGGUGUGGCGUCUCUACAAGGAAUCGAUGACAACACUUGGAACAACAUGCCUUGGGUUGUGCCGUGGCGGAGAUCUUUGUGGGCU